UACGUAGGGUGCGAGCGUUAAUCGGAAUUACUGGGCGUAAAGAGCGUGUAGGCGGCUCGAUAAGUCCGCUGUGAAAGUCCAGGGCUCAACCCUGGAAGGCCGGUGGAAACUGUCGGGCUAGAGUCCGGAAGAGGCGAGUGGAAUUCCCGGUGUAGCGGUGAAAUGCGCAGAUAUCGGGAGGAACACCAAUGGCGAAGGCAGCUCGCUGGGACGGUACUGACGCUGAGACGCGAAAGCGUGGGGAGCAAACAGG
rnacentral:rRNA from 1 species